rnacentral:rRNA from 1 species
UACGGAGGGUGCAAGCGUUUAUCCGGAUUCACUGGGUUUAAAGGGUGCGUAGGAGGGCAGGUAAGUCAGUGGUGAAAUCUCCGAGCUUAACUUGGAACUGCCGUUGAUAUAUCUGUCUUGAAUACCGUGGAGAUGAGCGGAAUAUGUCAUGUAGCGGUGAAAUGCUUAGAUAUGACAUAGAACACCAAUUGCGAAGGCAGCUCGUUACACGAAUAUUGACUCUGAGGCACGAAAGCGUGGGGAUCAAACAGGA